UCCUAUCUAAGUUUAUCCAAAAAGCAAAUGAGUAAGCUAAUCCAAGCCAAUAAGAGAACAAUUCGUGCGUACAUUUGCUAUGUACCAAGAUAUCAACUACUCUUAUUAUAUUUUCUGGCAAAUGGUGGAAUAAUCAUUUGCUCAAUUUCAAAGAUCUUCAAUCAAGUUCUCAUAAAUAUCAAAUAAAAAUAUAAUAACUAAGUAAUUUAAGAUUUACGGUCGUGCUCGACCCCCAAAUACUCAUCAUCAUGCCUAUAUGUCGGACACACCAAAUAACAAGUAGCAAAUACAUUUAACUUCUAUUCCCUCAAACUAAGGUAGACCAUACACUUAUCUCGCUUUGCAACCAAUUCAAAAUUGCAAUAAGUCUUUGCCUCGCGAAUUCGUCCGAAGCUCCAAAUCUCAUCUUCUAUUACUUGACGAAUUCGGUGAUCUGUUGGGGUAAUUUCAAUAGAGUGUGCCAUCCCUCUUUAAUACUUUCUUGAACUGUAAUUUCUCUUUGGUUUGAUUAAUUAUAUAGUCAAAAUGGACUGAUUGGAGUGUUACUUGAGCUGAUUUUCUUCUAAUUAAGUUUUUCUCUGCUUGACUAUUCUCAAGGAUAUGAGAGAGGAGGGGGUGCUGGAAUGGAUUUUAAAAGUAAAAUACAAAAGUAUGAGAAAAUGAUAAAAGACAUUGGCACAUUAAGGUCCACUGUCUUCACUUUUUGAUGGAAUAAGUAAUUGAUACAUUGGCAUGCCCGAGGCAACAUCAAAAUGACGACGCAAAAAUCAUAAUUCUCCGAGCCUGUGAGCUUGACAGGAAUCAGAAUUGAGCUAGGAGUGUCUGAGGAAUGAACAAAUAAAGGAUGCGUGUGGUCAAUUUUGUCAUCCACCAUUGAUGCUCCUCUGUUACAGCUUCACGAGGAAGACGAUGAUGAAACUUCAACAAAAUUGAAUUGAAUUCUCGGAUUAUAACUCUUCACUGCUCUGAUACCAUGUGAGUUUGAUGAAUUACAGAUUCAUCAAAUGAAGAGGAUCAAUUCAUGUUCGAAGCUAUCAAUACCAACGAGAGAGAAAGAAGAAGGAAGCAGUUGGAGAAAUGAGUUUCUGUUACUUCAAUUGUACAGUGUUGUACAAUAUAUAUAUACAGGGGUGUUAAUUUACUGGACCACACUUGUAACUAACUAAC
rnacentral:lncRNA from 1 species